ensembl:rRNA 5S_rRNA 5S ribosomal RNA
GUGUAUGGCCACACCACCCUGCAUGCACCAGAUCUCCUGUGAUCUUGGAAGCUAAGCAGUGUUGGGCCUGGUUAGUACUCCGAUUGAAGAAACUUUAAUACGGUUAUUACAGGACUUCUAUCACA